UUGCCUCUUGGUUUGGGACAACUGUUGGAAACGACAGCUAAUACCGGAUAUUAUGAGAUUCUCGCAUGGGAAACUUAUGAAAGCUAUAUGCGCCAAGAGAGAGCCUUGCGUUCCAUUAGCUAGUUGGUGGGGUAACGGCCCACCAAGGCGACGAUGGAUAGCCGGCCUGAGAGGGUGAACGGCCACAAGGGGACUGAGACACGGCCCUUACUCCUACGGGAGGCAGCAGUGGGGAAUAUUGGACAAUGGGCCACAAGCCUGAUCCAGCAAUUCUGUGUGCACGAUGAAGGUCUUCGGAUUGUAAAGUGCUUUCAGUUGGGAAGAAGAAAGUGACGGUACCAACAGAAGAAGCGACGGCUAAAUACGUGCCAGCAGCCGCGGUAAUACGUAUGUCGCAAGCGUUAUCCGGAUUUAUUGGGCGUAAAGCGCGUCUAGGCGGAAAAAUAAGUCUGAUGUUAAAAUGCGGGGCUCAACUCCGUAUUGCGUUGGAAACUGUUUUUCUAGAGUACUGGAGAGGUGGGCGGAACUACAAGUGUAGAGGUGAAAUUCGUAGAUAUUUGUAGGAAUGCCGAUGGAGAAGUCAGCUCACUGGACAGAUACUGACGCUAAAGCGCGAAA
rnacentral:rRNA from 1 species